GAAGGCUAUAGGAAGCUAUCGCACCGGCACGUCAGCUCAUUUCGUGUCGAAACGUGGUCGAAGUCACAUUGCUCUGCGGGGUGGAACGAUGUCACCUAGAGUGCCUACGUCGUCGUCGUUGGAUCUGUUCGGCAAGGGAAGCAGCGGUGGUCAUGUCACCACAUCCAACCAGCCAACCAACGUCGGGAAGCUGGUUUCGUUGUGACACCAAAGUGACUGUAAAUAUUAACCCAGCAAGCCCAUCUUUUGCUCAUCGAUCCGGGCACACGGACGCACAGACGGACGGGCGGAUGGACCCGCAACGCAUCAGCUUCACGUGCGCGCAACGCUCAGCGGCCCAACUGAGUGGACCGAGCAGAGGGUCCGUGACCGAUCUUGUUUGUGUUAACAGUACAGUUUGCGCUUCGAUCGUUCGGAUAGGUUGCCAUUAAGAACAACCUGAGGGCGGCCACGUUUUCUGCGGGUUGCAAAGAUGGUACAGAGUACGGUACAGGAGGGCUGCGGGAUUACAUCCCAAACGUGCGAUGACGUAAGCGGUCAAUACUUCAUUGUACGCAUAGUGCAGACACCUGUAACAGUAGCUUUCGGUGGUGGUGACGACGGUUGCCAAGUUCGAUCGUACCAGGAUCGCAAUCGAAUAUGAAAAUAAAGAGAGCUAUCCGUCGACAGUAGGGAUAUAAUUCACUGUCAUGGAAUUGCUCUCUUUAUGUACAAUUCGAUAUUCAACGUGCAACGUGCCAGAGGUGUCAACGUUGCGUCAUUAAAGGGGGGGGGGGGUCGUCUUCAUCUCUCGAAUUGCUGGACCAUGCCAUGUGACCGCCAUAUGACGCAGAAGAAGAAUUCCGCAUUUAUUGCACCUCAAAUUUGAUAAAAAUCUAUUUCCUAUAUAGCGGAUGGACAGAUGAUAGCAGCUUAAUGAUGACCUUAGUUUUAUUUCUCCCAAAAUGAAAGCACACGUGCUCUCGUCACUCCAAUUAUUGUGUAGGUAUGCGAUCGGCCAUUACUGUGACUUUCCUUCCCACGUGUACCGGGGAGCAAGAAGAAGAAGAAAAAACAUAGCAAACAACAAUAAAUUCAUAUUUUUCCCUGGCUCGUUUAGUUCAACAAGUUUGUAAGCACUUAAAAUAUCAUUUAUUUCAACCGCACACAAUCCACUCUCGUUACGACGUGAGGGUACCCCCGGGGAGAGGUAUUACAAUGUGAGUUGAUUGUAUGGCAAAAAAAGAAAGAGAGAGAGAGAGAGAGAGAGAGAGAGAGAGAGAGAGAGAGAGAGAGAGAGAGAGA